AUCAGACAAGACUACCCGCUGAACUUAAGCAUAUCAAUAAGCGGAGGA
rnacentral:rRNA from 1 species